rnacentral:hammerhead_ribozyme from 1 species
ACCUAACUGAUGAGUCCGAAAUAGGACGAAACACGCUUCAAAUUGGAU